rnacentral:rRNA from 1 species
GACGAACGCUAGCGGCGUGCCUAAUACAUGCAAGUAGAACGCUGAAGGAGGAGCUUGCUUCUCUGGAUGAGUUGCGAACGGGUGAGUAACGCGUAGGUAACCUGCCUGGUAGCGGGGGAUAACUAUUGGAAACGAUAGCUAAUACCGCAUAAGAGUAGAUGUUGCAUGACAUUUACUUAAAAGGUGCAAUUGCAUCACUACCAGAUGGACCUGCGUUGUAUUAGCUAGUUGGUGAGGUAACGGCUCACCAAGGCAACGAUACAUAGCCGACCUGAGAGGGUGAUCGGCCACACUGGGACUGAGACACGGCCCAGACUCCUACGGGAGGCAGCAGUAGGGAAUCUUCGGCAAGGGACGGAAGUCUGACCGAGCAACGCCGCGGGAGUGAAGAAGGUUUUCGGAUCGUAAAGCUCUGUUGUAAGAGAAGAACGAGUGUGAGAGUGGAAAGUUCACACUGUGACGGUAUCUUACCAGAAAGGGACGGCUAACUACGUG